UACAGAGGUCUCAAGCGUUGUUCGGAUUCAUUGGGCGUAAAGGGCGCGUAGGCGGGGAGGUAAGUCGGGUGUGAAAUCCCUCGGCCCAACCGAGGAACUGCGCCCGAGACUGCUUCUCUUGAGUCCCGGAGAGGAAGGUGGAAUUCCCGGUGUAGCGGUGAAAUGUGUAGAGAUCGGGAGGAACACCUGCGGUGUAGACGGCUUACUGGACCAUCACUGACGCUGAGGCACGAAAGCGUGGGUAGCAAACAGG
rnacentral:rRNA from 1 species